rnacentral:rRNA from 1 species
AUUGAACGCUGGCGGCAGGCUUAACACAUGCAAGGCGAGCGGGGUGAUGGUGCUUGCACUAUCACUUAGCGGCGGACGGGUGAGUAAUGCUUAGGAAUCUGCCUAUUAGUGGGGGACAACAUCUCGAAAGGGAUGCUAAUACCGCAUACGUCCUACGGGAGAAAGCAGGGGAUCGCUUGUGACCUUGCGCUAAUAGAUGAGCCUAAGUCGGAUUAGCUAGUUGGUGGGGUAAAGGCCUACCAAGGCGACGAUCUGUAGCGGGUCUGAGAGGAUGAUCCGACAGAAUGGGACUGAGACACGGCCCAGACUCCGACGGGAGGCAGCAGUGGGGAAUAUUGGACAAUGGGGGGAACCCUGAUCUAGCCAUGCCGCGUGUGUGAAGAAGGCCUUAUGGUUGUGAAGCACUUUAAGCGAGGAGGAGGCUCUUUUGGUUAAUACCCAAGAUGAGUGGACGUUACUCGCAGAAUAAGCACCGGCUAACUCUGUGCCAGCCGCCGCGGUAA